rnacentral:rRNA from 1 species
UACAGAGGUCUCAAGCGUUUGUUCGGAUUCAUUGGGCGUAAAGAGCGUGUAGGCGGCCAGGUAGGUCGGUUGUGAAAACUGGAGGCUCAACCUUCAGAGGUCGACCGAAACCAUCUGGCUAGAGUCCGGGAGAGGAGAGUGGAAUUCCUGGUGUAGCGGUGGAAUGCGCAGAUAUCAGGAGGAACACCAACGGCGAAAGCAGCUCUCUGGGACGGUACUGACGCUGAGACGCGAAAGCGUGGGGAGCGAACAGG